GAUGAACGCUGGCGGCGUGCUUAACACAUGCAAGUCGAACGGAAAGGCUCCUGCUUGCAGGGGUACUCGAGUGGCGAACGGGUGAGUAACACGUGGGUGAUCUGCCCUGCACUUCGGGAUAAGCCUGGGAAACUGGGUCUAAUACCGGAUAGGACGAUGGUUUGGAUGCCAUUGUGGAAAGUUUUUCGGUGUGGGAUGAGCUCGCGGCCUAUCAGCUUGUUGGUGGGGUAAUGGCCUACCAAGGCGUCGACGGGUAGCCGGCCUGAGAGGGUGUACGGCCACAUUGGGACUGAGAUACGGCCCAGACUCCUACGGGAGGCAGCAGUGGGGAAUAUUGCACAAUGGGCGCAAGCCUGAUGCAGCGACGCCGCGUGGGGGAUGACGGCCUUCGGGUUGUAAACUCCUUUCGCUAGGGACGAAGCGCAAGUGACGGUACCUGGUGAAGAAGCACCGGCUAACUACGUG
rnacentral:rRNA from 1 species